AGCAGCCGCGGUAAUUCCAGCUCCAAUAGCGUAUAUUAAAGUUGUUGCAGUUAAAAAGCUCGUAGUUGAAUUUCGAGAUCAGUACGCUGGUCGUGCCUUCGGUAUGCACUGGUGUCACUGGUUUCUCCCUUCUGAAGAACCGUCAUGUCAUUAAGUUGGUGUGGCGGGGAAUCAGGACUGUUACUUUGAAAAAAUUAGAGUGUUUAAAGCAGGCUCGCGCUUGAAUACAUUAGCAUGGAAUAAUGAAAUAGGACGUUUGACCCUAUUUUGUUGGUUUCUAGGAUCGACGUAAUGAUUAAUAGGGAUAGUUGGGGGCAUUAGUAUUCAAUUGUCAGAGGUGAAAUUCUUGGAUUUAUUGAAGACUAACUACUGCGAAAGCAUUUGCCAAGGAUGUUUUCAUUAAUCAAGAACGAAAGUUAGGGGAUCGAAGACGAUCAGAUACCGUCGUAGUCUUAACCAUAAGCUAUGCCGACUAGGGAUCGGAUGAUGUUAAUUUUUAAUGACUCU
rnacentral:rRNA from 1 species